rnacentral:rRNA from 1 species
AGAGUUUGAUCCUGGCUCAGCCUGAACGCUGGCGGCGUGGCUAAGACAUGCAAGUCGCACGGUGUAGCAAUACACAGUGGCGAACGGGUGAGUAAUGAAUCGCUAAUGUACCCCGGACUCUGGGAUAGCUACCCGAAAGGGUAGGUAAUACCAGAUGAUAUAUCCUGAUGGCAUCAUCGGGAUCUCAAAGGUCCGCCGGUCUGGGAGCAGGCGAUUUCGUAUCAGCUUGUUGGUGAGGUAACGGCUCACCAAGGCGACGACGCGUAGCCGGACUGAGAGGUUGGCCGGCCACAUUGGGACUGAGACACUGCCCAGACUCCUACGGGGGGCUGCAGUAACGAAUCUUCCGCAAUGCACGAAAGUGUGACGGAGCGACGCCGCGUGUGGGACGAAGCCCUUCGGGGUGUAAACCACUGUCAGGGGUUAGAAAGUUCUGAUCAACCCCAGAGGAAGGCACGGCUAACUCUGUGCCAGCAGCCGCGGUAAU